GCUCCUUGUAGAACUCCAGUAGUUGGAUCUUGCUUUUUGAAAUCCAAUCUGUCAAUCUCUUGCCUUUUAAUGUACAGAUUUAGACCAUGUACACUUAGUGCCAUUAUUAAUAUAGUUAGAUAUGAUACACCACCUUACUAGUUGGAAGCUAUUUUUGAUGCUCUUUCUUUCAGUUAUACCCAAAUCUUCUGCAGAUUUUCCUUAUGGUCUCUGUGCAAACAGGAGGAAAGAAUCUAUUCCACUCCUUAGAGUGAUAGUGGUAGUGAAGUCUCCCCAGAGGUGAACAGUGCCCAGCUGAUCAACCUCUUACUUAGGUCUCACACAGCACAGAAGCAGUGAUUUGGGAGACGGACAAGGUCACCAGUCAUUCAACCAACUCUUCACAAGCGUCAUCUCAUUACUGUGGUAGAUGUAACCACUACACCUCCAGGACAGAGGUGAGGAAGCCAAGGCUCGAAGAACCUAAGAGAUGGAAGCGAGUCAUGUGCUGGCGGGGCCAAGAUGUUAGCCCAGAGGACCAGGCCACAGAUGAAUGCUUCUGUGGAGAAAAGAGCUUUCUAAAUGAAGAUAGCAAGCUCGAAGCAGAGUGAUUUUGACAUCUGCUAACUGACUAAGUACACUGAUUCCACCAUCUCAUUCUGUGCUCUGCUUCUACCCUGCAGAAUCUCUCUUUAACCAAUUCUUGAUCAAACAACGAACCCAUUGCAGAAAUAAAUUAUGGGGAAGCAUGUCCUUUGCCACUUCCCUAAUUCAGAAAAAUCAAGUUUUUUUUCUCCUGUCCUAUGCUGUUUCCUGUCGUGCAUAAUAUAGCAAAUUAAUUAGUGGAUCUGGAGGCACUUUGCUAAUAUAAUUUCUCUCUCUUGCUUGAGGUGAAUUAUGUUCAUGCUUCAGUCACUUGAAUAUUACUCUUCCAUGUUUGAGGGAAUUAUGUUAUCAGGCAAUGAUUAUAUUGCACACUAUCUGAUUCUAAUUAAACCAGAAAAUAGUGAUGUAACAGAGGAGAAUGUUUCAUGAUUUACAUUCCCCACACUUCACUGCUGCAUCCCAUUUUUAAAGCUUUCUGAGCUGUGCUUGGGCUCUUUUCUGAUGCUUACAUCACUUGCACUAUCUUACUUUUCUCCCUGGACCUGCUUCAUCUAAGAUGUGAUUUGUGUAAAUUAAAUCUUAGAAAGACAUAAUGUUUACAUUUGCCUUUUUUUUUUUGUUAUCAGAAGUAUCAUGCCCAGUAGUGACUAUGAUUAUUUUAGAUAAUAUCAAAGGAGAAAACGUGUUGUUUUUGUAUAACUGAAAAAAAAAGUUUCCCUGUAUGAGAGAGGAGAAACAAAUUUUACAGGGGGAAGAGAGAGAAAGAGAAUACAGAGACAAAUGUGGAAG
rnacentral:lncRNA from 1 species